UCGAGAAGGGUCGAGAGUGUUCUAGAGUGUGAGGUGAUAUUUUUCCUGGUUGCUUGAAGAACAACCAAAAAAGGCAAAAUAUCAUUUCUUCUUGAUUGUGUAUUACUGAGGUUCAAGUUUCCGUGGUGUACGUGGUUCUACGAGGCAUUCCGUUAAGAAACGACGAAUUUUCAGCCUGUCGAGCUGCCUGGCUGGGCCAGCAGCGUGACGGAGGAGGACUGAGAGGCGAACCCGAUAGCGCUUCAACGCGCGAAGUUCUUCGUGCACCGCUGGAGUUUUCACCCGCCCUGUGAGUAGACGGCUGACAAGGUGUGUGACCAAACACAGCAACACGGGGACACGGCAGAUUUUUCUGACUGCUUUGAGAUUUGGGAUGGGCUGGUAUUGUGGAACUGAGUGCCACCGGAGAUUGAAAUUACCGCAUCCUAAAAUCGUUUAGCUUUUAUUUUUUUUGGAUGUACCUGUGUGUGGAUGCACCAAUGCUCGUACCAGAGGCCAGAGAGGUGGAGGACAGGAGAGACAGAUGAAACGGGGGGGAAAAAGGUGAUGGAGAGUAUCGGCGCCCAACAGUUCAUCAUACCGCCAAAAUCUGGAUUGUUUUUCCUGGAUCAUUGUUUCCAGCUCACACACAGACAGCAAUGCUCCACUAUUAAUUCACAUAAAAAGCUGAAACUGCAUUAUGCUCCCCAUUAUGAAUAUUCACCACACAUUACCAAGAAAGAAUACAUGUGAUCUUCCCAUGUUCAAUGCUGCCCUUUUUUUCCACGGCCUACUUUAGUGCAAGAACAAUGCAGGAGCCAGGCAAUGUUUUCUGCACUGAAUCCAGAAAUCCCCCAGUCCCUGUAGGUGCAGGUGUUCUUCCAGGCUGAAAAUUACACCAUUAUUUGCAAAUCUCUGCUUUGCAGCCAGGGAGGAAAGGAUGGAAGGGAUGGGCUGUCCCUGAAGAGAGGCAGGAAAGGCCGUUCAACAACAGCAGCAAAUCCGCUCAAUGCGGUGCGACUGGUCGUAUCUCAGCUCUGGAAUGGCUUCAGAGGCCUCAGCACGUGCAUUUACUGCGAGCUGACUCGGACGAGCCUGUGUGAAGGUUUGGGGGGGUGGUGGUGGUGUCAGUGUGACUUUAAUGUAUUAUCUGUGAUAAUUUGUGACCACGAGCAUUCCAAACAGAAAGAAACUUUGUUUUAGGGCUGCAUUUGGGGGAAAACCUACAAAGCUACAAAUAGUAGAGAGAGUGACUAAUAUAGGAGGCCAGCACCUGUACUUGCAAGCUAAUAGAUUACACUAGUUUUAAAUAUUGGGUUAAUGCCAAAUAAUAAAUACCACUAAGUGUAUGUACUGAGGGCUGAAUUAUCAGGUUUGGAAACAUAAUGGCACUAAAUUGCUUUUGUACAAUUGAUGAAAGGCAGGUGCUUAGGAAAGCUUUGUUGCGCAGGGGGGUUUGUGGUGAACUGGAGCAUAACCCAGCAACACAGGGUGCCAGGCUGGAGGGGGAC